rnacentral:misc_RNA from 1 species
ACUCCUAUGACUUCCCAGCUGU